rnacentral:lncRNA from 1 species
ACAUGAUGCUUGGAGGCACCGACCAUAGAAAGCUUUAAAACCUGGCCGAUAAACACCUCCGAAGGAGCAGAGGCCGUGCCUGCCCCACGGCAGUGUUUUCAUCUAAACUUCUUCUUCAUAUUUCUCACGUCAGCACCGUUUCGACUGAAGAUCUCAAGACCAUGAUGGACAGAGAAAAGCACCUUCCUUACGUGAAAAGUAUCAACUCGUUUCUGCUCUUCAGCAUUGUGGAGAAGGUGAGUUAAAUAAUAUGUGGCAGCGGGUAUGGGUUCCGUCCCUGGUCAGGAAGCUCAGAUCCCACGUGCCUGGAGGCCAAGAAACCAAAACCUAAAACAGAAGCAAUAUUAUAAAAA